UACGUAGGGGGCAAGCGUUAUCCGGAUUUAUUGGGCGUAAAGAGCUCGUAGGCGGCCGUUCGCGUCGGAUGUGAAAGCCCAAGGCUCAACCUUGGAAUUGCCUUUGAUACUGUUUGGCUUGAGACCGGAAGAGGUUAGUGGAACUGCGAGUGUAGAGGUGAAAUUCGUAGAUAUUCGCAAGAACACCAGUGGCGAAGGCGGCUAACUGGUCCGGUUCUGACGCUGAGGCGCGAAAGCGUGGGGAGCAAACAGG
rnacentral:rRNA from 1 species